rnacentral:rRNA from 1 species
UACGGGGGGUGCAAGCGUUGUUCGGAAUUAUUGGGCGUAAAGAGCGUGUAGGCGGCUAGAUAAGUCAGAUGUGAAAUCCCUGGGCUUAACCCAGGACGUGCAUUUGAAACUAUCUAGCUUGAGUAAGGGAGAGGAAAGUGGAAUUCCUGGUGUAGAGGUGAAAUUCGUAGAUAUCAGGAGGAACACCGGUGGCGAAGGCGACUUUCUGGCCCUAUACUGACGCUGAGACGCGAGAGCGUGGGUAGCAAACAGG